CACGUAGGGCGCGAGCGUUGUCCGGAAUCACUGGGCGUAAAGGGCGCGUAGGUGGCGUCGCAAGUCAACGGUGAAAGCUCGACGCUCAACGUCGAGUCGGCCGUCGAGACUGCGAGGCUUGAGCACUGUAGAGGCAGAUGGAAUUCCGGGUGUAGCGGUGGAAUGCGUAGAGAUCCGGAAGAACACCGGUGGCGAAGGCGGUCUGCUGGGCAGUUGCUGACACUGAGGCGCGACAGCGUGGGGAGCAAACAGG
rnacentral:rRNA from 1 species